AUUGAACGCUGGCGGCAGGCCUAACACAUGCAAGUCGAACGGUAACAGGAAGCAGCUUGCUGCUUUGCUGACGAGUGGCGGACGGGUGAGUAAUGUCUGGGAAACUGCCCGAUGGAGGGGGAUAACUACUGGAAACGGUAGCUAAUACCGCAUAACGUCGCAAGACCAAAGAGGGGGACCUUCGGGCCUCUUGCCAUCGGAUGUGCCCAGAUGGGAUUAGCUAGUAGGUGGGGUAACGGCUCACCUAGGCGACGAUCCCUAGCUGGUCUGAGAGGAUGACCAGCCACACUGGAACUGAGACACGGUCCAGACUCCUACGGGAGGCAGCAGUGGGGAAUAUUGCACAAUGGGCGCAAGCCUGAUGCAGCCAUGCCGCGUGUAUGAAGAAGGCCUUCGGGUUGUAAAGUACUUUCAGCGGGGAGGAAGGUGUUGAGGUUAAUAACCUCAGCAAUUGACGUUACCCGCAGAAGAAGCACCGGCUAACUCCGUGCCAGCAGCCGCGGUAAUACGGAGGGUGCAAGCGGUUAAUCGGAAUUACUGGGCGUAAAGCGCACGCAGGCGGUCUGUCAAGUCGGAUGUGAAAUCCCCGGGCUCAACCUGGGAACUGCAUUCGAAACUGGCAGGCUAGAGUCUUGUAGAGGGGGGUAGAAUUCCAGGUGUAGCGGUGAAAUGCGUAGAGAUCUGGAGGAAUACCGGUGGCGAAGGCGGCCCCCUGGACAAAGACUGACGCUCAGGUGCGAAAGCGUGGGGAGCAAACAGGAUUAGAUACCCUGGUAGUCCACGCCGUAAACGAUGUCGACUUGGAGGUUGUGCCCUUGAGGCGUGGCUUCCGGAGCUAACGCGUUAAGUCGACCGCCUGGGGAGUACGGCCGCAAGGUUAAAACUCAAAUGAAUUGACGGGGGCCCGCACAAGCGGUGGAGCAUGUGGUUUAAUUCGAUGCAACGCGAAGAACCUUACCUACUCUUGACAUCCAGAGAACUUAGCAGAGAUGCUUUGGUGCCUUCGGGAACUCUGAGACAGGUGCUGCAUGGCUGUCGUCAGCUCGUGUUGUGAAAUGUUGGGUUAAGUCCCGCAACGAGCGCAACCCUUAUCCUUUGUUGCCAGCGGUCCGGCCGGGAACUCAAAGGAGACUGCCAGUGAUAAACUGGAGGAAGGUGGGGAUGACGUCAAGUCAUCAUGGCCCUUACGAGUAGGGCUACACACGUGCUACAAUGGCGCAUACAAAGAGAAGCGACCUCGCGAGAGCAAGCGGACCUCAUAAAGUGCGUCGUAGUCCGGAUUGGAGUCUGCAACUCGACUCCAUGAAGUCGGAAUCGCUAGUAAUCGUGGAUCAGAAUGCCACGGUGAAUACGUUCCCGGGCCUUGUACACACCGCCCGUCACACCAUGGGAGUGGGUUGCAAAAGAAGUAGGUAGCUUAACCUUCGGGAGGGCGCUUACCACUUUGUGAUUCAUGACUGGGGUG
rnacentral:rRNA from 1 species